GGAGCUGUCACUUCUACGAAGUUCUAGAUAAGGUUGUCUUAUAAGAGGGCAAACGUCAUCCAAUCCUCUUCCAUAAUCAACAGGUCUUAGAUCGUAUUCACCAUUAUCAAUUUGAAGAAAAGGGUCAUUCAAAAGCUCCGCUGCCGAGAGCCUAAAUGAAACCGAUGCCAAACACUUAUCAAUGAAUUGCCGCACUUCGGGAUCCUUCACUUUGUACAAGGCAUCUGGUUUUUUCCCAGAUAUGACUUUCUUAUAGAUUUGAGCAGGAUGUGUGCAUUCGCUGUAUGGAUAUUCAAAAGUUAUCAUCUCCAGAAUGCACAUUCCAAAUGAG
rnacentral:misc_RNA from 1 species